UACGUAGGGGGCAAGCGUUGUCCGGAAUUAUUGGGCGUAAAGAGCGCGUAGGCGGUCCGGUAAGUCGGUUGUGAAAGUCGGGGGCUCAACCCUCGGAUGCCGAUCGAUACUGUCGGGCUAGAGUCCGGAAGAGGCGAGUGGAAUUCCUGGUGUAGCGGUGAAAUGCGCAGAUAUCAGGAGGAACACCAAUGGCGAAGGCAGCUCGCUGGGACGUGACUGACGCUGAGACGCGAAAGCGUGGGGAGCAAACAGG
rnacentral:rRNA from 1 species